UGAAUAUGGGUUCAUCUUAAAUCAGCAGAGACAGAGAGAUCCAGGAGUAUUGUUACAAAUGAUUGGAGAUGCAGCAGAAAAAGCACUUACACCAAGAGUAGUUAGAUAGUAGCCUUCAUUCUCCAUUGCCUGCCACCUCAUAUAAUCAUUCCUGCCUGUGCAAAGUGGGCAUAAAAUGUUACCAAACUAGAAUUAGUUGGUAACUAUUUAGCUCCUAAUUUACCUAGAUGUAAAUGACUAUACAAGGUGCAAAGAUGUGGAAAAUCAGGCCUAAGUCCUCAUUAUCAGUGACAUCUCUGGGAGUAUGAGCAGACUGAAGAUAACACUUAAAUGCUGCUGAGCUGGUGUAAUGCAAGGAAGGAAACAUCAUGAAAUGGGAAUAUUAUCCUUUUUUUGUCAUGGUAGCUGUACUCAGCCUGUCCAGGUCCCACCAGUUACUUUGUCAGAUUAUUCCAGAUGACAAAGGUUUGCAAAUCCUAUCAGUGGAAAUGUCACGCCUUGAAAGAGGACAAUUAUUAAAGAAAAAAAUCCCAGCACGUGCCUUGCCUUCUAGAGAUUGUCACAGUGUACACUGAGGACUUAAUAAAUAAAAUGA